GAGUUGGAAAUUUAAAUAUAGAGUUGUUUCAACUCAUUUUAAGUGUCAUUCAACUCCAAGAUAGUUAUUAUUCAAAACGAGUUGGUGUUGAAACAGGGAGUCAAUUGUUGAAUUCUCCAAACAACUCUAGAGUGUUGAUUUAAUUACAUAGCCAGUGUUACAAUCUCUCUUUCUGUGGAUCACUGGCUGUUGCUCUGUUGGGUGUGGCCGUGACUGUGAAUGUGUGUGCGCGCAGUCGAGGCGGGAGACCAAAUCGGAGGAGCAUACCACCACAUUCUAUUUGGAGGAUAAACUGACCAAAGUGACACCAUGUUGGUGAAAGUAAGAUAUGGCGAAAGCCAGAAAUAUGUGAAAGUGUCUGAGACUGAAGAAGGCUAUGAAAGCUACAGUACAUUUCUUCAGAAAGUCAUAGAAAAGUUAGGUUUACCACUACAGAGUGAGCUGCACUUGACUGAUGAAUCAGGGACAGAGGUGGAUGCAGAUGUCUUUGAAGAGCUUUUACAAGCAGGGAACCUUACAGUCAAAGUGUCCACAGGACAGU